CCUACGGGUGGCAGCAGUGGGGAAUAUUGCACAAUGGGGGAAACCCUGAUGCAGCGACGCCGCGUGAGUGAAGAAGUAUCUCGGUACGUAAAGCUCUAUCAGCAGGGAAGAAAAUGACGGUACCUGACUAAGAAGCCCCGGCUACCUACGUGCCGGCAGCCGCGGUAAUACGGAGGGGGCAGGCGUUAUCCGGAUUUACUGGGUGUAAAGGGAGCGUAGACGGCAGCACAAGUCUGGAGUGAAAUCCCGGGGCUUAACCCCGGAACUGCUUUUGAAACUGUGCGGCUGGAGUGCAGGAGGGGUAAGCGGAAUUCGUAGUGUAGCGGUGAAAUGCGUAGAUAUUAGGAGGAACACCGGUGGCGAAGGCGGCUUACUGGACUGUAACUGACGUUGAGGCUCGAAAGCGUGGGGAGCAAACAGGAUUAGAUACCCCUGUAGUC
rnacentral:rRNA from 1 species